rnacentral:rRNA from 1 species
CAAUAGCGUAUAUUAAAGUUGUUGCAGUUAAAAAGCUCGUAGUUGGAUUUCUGGUUGAAGCGACCGGUCGGGCGUUGAUUCGUCUGCACUGGAGUCGGUUUUGGCCAUCCUCUAGGAAAGUGCGUCUGGUAUUAAGUUAUCGGGCGUAUGAUCCUGGUCUUUUACUGUGAAAAAAUUAGAGUGUUUAAAGCAGGCCUUCGCCUUGAAUACAUUAGCAUGGAAUAAUAAGAUAGGACUUUGGUCUAUUUUGUUGGUUUGCAGACCGAAGUAAUGAUUAAUAGGGAUAGUUGGGGGUAUUUAUAUUCCGAUGUCAGAGGUGAAAUUCUUAGAUUUUCGGAAGAUAAACUUAUGCGAAAGCAUUUACCAAGGAUGGUUUCAUUA